UCGCCUCUUGCAAAACAACAUAUAAGAGGUCCCGCCUGCCCUGUGAUAAUAAAUUUAACGGCCGCGGUAUUUUGACCGUGCGAAGGUAGCGAAAUCACUUGUCUUUUAAAUGAAGACCUGUAUGAAUGGCACGACGAGGGCUUGACUGUCUCCUUUUUCAAGUCAAUGAAAUUGAUCUCCCCGUGCAGAAGCGGGGAUUAAAACAUAAGACGAGAAGACCCUAUGGAGCUUUAGACACCAGGAUAGACCAUGUUAAACACCCCCGAACAAGGGGCUAAACCAAAUGGGGCCUACCCCAAUGUCUUUGGUUGGGGCGACCGCGGGGAAACAAAAAACCCCCACGUGGAAUGGGAGUACUACUCCUAAAACUAAGAGCUCCCGCUCUAGUAAACAGAAUUUCUGACCAACAAGAUCCGGCAACGCCGAUCAACGAACCGAGUUACCCUAGGGAUAACAGCGCAAUCCCCUUUUAGAGCCCAUAUCGACAAGGGGGUUUACGACCUCGAUGUUGGAUCAGGACAUCCUAAUGGUGCAGCCGCUAU
rnacentral:rRNA from 1 species